rnacentral:rRNA from 1 species
AAGCCCCGGUGAACGGCGGCCGUAACUAUAACGGUCCUAAGGUAGCGAAAUUCCUUGUCGGGUAAGUUCCGACCCGCACGAAAGGUGUAACGAUUUGGGCACUGUCUCAACGAGGGACCCGGUGAAAUUGAAAUACCUGUGAAGAUGCAGGUUACCCGCGACUGGACAGAAAGACCCCAUGGAGCUUUACUGUAACCUGACAUUGGGUUUUGAUACAUUACGUACAGGAUAGGUGGGAGGCUUGGAAAGCUGGACGCUAGUCUGGCUGGAGCCGACGUUGGGAUACCACCCUUGAUGUAUUGAAAUUCUAACCGCGAGAGUAACGAAAUCCGGGACAGUGUCAGGCGGGCAGUUUGACUGGGGCGGUCGCCUCCGAAAGAGUAACGGAGGCGCCCAAAGGUUCCCUCAGCGCGGCCGGAAAUCGCGCGAAGAGUGUAAAGGCAGAAGGGAGCUUGACUGCGAGUCAAACACGACGAGCAGGUACGAAAGUAGGGCUUAGUGAUCCGGUGGUACCGAGUGGAAGGGCCAUCGCUCAACGGAUAAAAGCUACCCUGGGGAUAACAGGCUAAUCUCUCCCAAGAGUCCAUAUCGACGGGGAGGUUUGGCACCUCGAUGUCGGCUCAUCACAUCCUGGGGCUGAAGUCGGUCCCAAGGGUUGGGCUGUUCGCCCAUUAAAGUGGUACGUGAGCUGGGUUCAGAACGUCGUGAGACAGUUCGGUCCCUAUCCAUCGCGGGCGCAAGAGAUUUGAAGGGGGCUGCUCCUAGUACGAGAGGACCGGAGUGGACGAACCGCUGGUGUACCAAUUAUCCCGCCAGGGGUACAGUUGGGUAGCUACGUUCGGAAAGGAUAAACGCUGAAAGCAUCUAAGCGUGAAACCAGCCUUAAGAUGAGAUCUCUCAUAGAGCAAUCUAGUAAGACACCUUAAAGAAGAUGAGGUUGAUAGGUCGGGAGUGUAAGUACAGCAAUGUAUUGAGCGGACCGAUACUAAUAUGUCGAGGGCUUGACUUA